rnacentral:rRNA from 1 species
AUACGUAGGGUGCAAGCGUUAUCCGGAUUUACUGGGCGUAAAGGGAGCGCAGACGGUUUUUCAAGUCUGAAGUGAAAGCUCGGGGCUCAACCCCGGAACUGCUUUGGAAACUGGCUGACUGGAGUGCUGUAGAGGUAAGCGGAAUUCCUAGUGUAGCGGUGAAAUGCGUAGAUAUUAGGAGGAACACCAGAGGCGAAGGCGGCUUACUGGACUGAAACUGCCGUUGAGGCUCGAAGGCGUGGGGAGCAAACAGGAUUAGAUCCCCUGGUAGUCCACGCGGUAAACGAUGAUCCCUAGGUGUUGGCACUCAUAGCGUGUCGGUGCCGCAGCAAACGCAAUAAGUGAUCCACCUGGGGAGUACGUUCGCAAAAAUGAAACUCAAAUGAAUUGACGGGG